UUUUUUUUUUUUUUUUUGGCACCGCACAAGGAAGGAAAGGUACUGGGGAAGAGAGGUGAUCUAACACCGGAAAGACAAUGAUGGCAGGUCCUGGAAGCCCUGGCUGCCUGGGACAGGAGUUUGCAAUUAACAGAGGGAAUGGAAAACCAAUAAAGGGUCUGAAGGCUGGGAGGGAAGAGCGAACCUGAGACGCUGCGGUUGCGUUGAAGGUAGAGCGUGGGGGCUGCUGCGAUAGGAGUGUGGAGUGAGGGGUGUGCUCCAGGCAGCAGGGCUGGUCCAGGCAGGGGUGAUGGAACUCAGAACCAGACAGCGGCGGUGUGCUGAGAAGCAAGAAGCCAAGGUAAAGAACUGAGAAAGCCUCCAGGGUGAGUAAAAGCGGGAGAGGAGAGGGAGAAUUUAGGCUGUUUUCGACUUGGGCAACAGAGGGUGCUGUUUCCAAAGAAGACCUGCUCUGGGGGAAGCAGGCGGCAUCUAGAUUUAAUGAGCUUCACCCAAGGGCCCCCAGGAACCCACAAAGGGGAAAGGCAAUACGGAAAAUAAUAAAUACAACUGAGAAGGUACAGCACUCUCCAGUUUAUACAAAACUGUUACUGACAAGUGAGACAAGACUGGAGCAGACAAUGAGUGUGUUGGGGGCGGGGUUUUGGAGGAAGUGGCUCGCAGCCCAUUUAUAGAGGACCGUGGACAUCCAGACCCAGAGGUCAGGCUCCAUCCAAAAAGCAGAGGAAAUCCCAGAAGGGCUGCUAUUAGAGACAAGUGUAUUCGAGAAUAUUUCUUCUGGCAAAUUCCAGGUUAUUAUAAGGUAUUGAAUAUAGUUCCCUGUGCUGUACCAGAACCUCUGCAUUUUAGAUGUGCACCUGUGCUCCAUGGAGGCUCUGUGCUGGAGGCUGUUGAAUGUUCUGGAUGGCAGGAAUGGUACACCAGCAGGGCCUCGCUCUAGCCUAACACCCAGCAUGGUGGAUAACGCACAAGAGGCAAAUCAGAAGACUGGAGAUACAAAGAGUGAUGGUAACAGCAGUUAUAAGGGGACAUGAGGAAGACCUAGGGUUUAGAGCUGGGUUAAGCUACCUGGGGAAACAGCAGGAGCAGCAAACAGGAAGGCAGGCAAUGAGGGCACACUCCAAAGAUGGUAGCAGGGGCUGCCCAGGAGAGAAGUCACAAUUGGACCUGGUAGGAGGGACUUGGAAACCAGGCAGAAGCAUGUUGAUUUGAUACUCCAGUGCAUGGAAAUCCACUGAAACUGUUUUAUAAAAAACAACUUUUUAAAAGUGUAAUUUGCAUGCCCUCAAAGUCACCCAUUUCAGUGUGCAGUUCAGUGAUUUCUAGUAAAUUUACCAAGUUGUACAACCAUCACCGUCACCCAGUUUUACAACAUCCACAUCACUCCACUGAGAGCCCUCCUGCCCAUUUACAGUGAAUUCCAUUCCCAACUCCUACUCCCCGCCCUAGACAGUCACUGCUUUGCCCUCUGUCUCUGUAGGUUUACUUUCGUAGGACAUCUCUUAAAAUUGGAAUCAUGCAAUAAGUGGGUUUCCUAUGUUUGCUCCUUUCACUUAGUAUAGUGUUUUGAAGUCCAUCCAUGUUGUAGCAUAUUUUAUUCCUUCCUUUUGCUGAAUCCUGUUCAAUUGUAGAGAUAGACCACAUGUUUUAUUUAUCUACCAAUUGAUGGACAUUUGGGUAGUUUCCAUUUUUUGGUCCUUGUGGAUAAUGCUGCUAUGAAUAUUCUUAAGUACAAAUCUUUGUUCUCUUGGGUAGG